AUCUUGCUUAGUUGCGAUCCGAGGGCUGACAUGUUGCCAAUCAGACCGAGUGCCAAAAACUUGGGCAAACUGCAGGCCAAAACUACUAUUCGCAGAAUGGUACAUAGGGCGGUAGUAUCGCAGACUCAAAACGGAGUGCUAUUUAACUAAAAGCUAAAAAGCACCGACAGAAGCCAGUCGGCAAACUAAAAUUCCCCUUCGCCAGAGACCGUUUUUCUUGCCUAUGCUCACAAAUGCAUCUGACUUGCCCAAAAACCCGCAGACAUGCAGGGAAAAGGGAGAUGCAGUAUCCAAAAACUAAUCACCAAUUAGGGAUGGCAUAGAAGAUGAAUGCUAUUCAGUUAUUCAAUUUAAGCUGUAAAGAUUCUUUACGGAGAUAUGGACACUAAUAUCAGCAUAAUCUUUAAAGCUAAAAAUUUUUUGAUUAGCUACGUUUUCCUACAUCCUUUCCUGUAUAAAUUUAAUUUACCCAGAAAACUCGGUUACUAAUGUACUUGCAAUCACGCUCACAUCUCCAACUCAUUCGCACUCCAGCUCGCAGAUAACGUGGCCAAAAAAAAAAUAGCCCAGGCAAAAGAAAACCAGCAUAGAAAUAGACCAAAGGAUAGGAGAGCGAAAAAAAGGAGACUGGAAGAAAUUCGGUGUGUUCUUUGGAGAUUUGGCAAGUAAAGUUGCUCGCUCAUGCGAAGAGCCGCAAAUGUGUGCAAUGGGCACAAGUUGCGAGGUGGGCCAGAGGAAGACAUCCUUUUUCCCUGUUUUCUGACUUUUUCAAAUGCUCUCUUUGCCAGUUUCGGGUGAAAAUUUCUACGUAAUUUCGCGAAUAAAAAAAGGUGGAAAAUGUUUGGUGUUUAGAGUAACUGACAGGUGCAUAGCGCUUGUGUGUGUGUAUGUGUGUCCGGUGGGCGGAAGUGGAAAAUGUGUGGGUGUGUUUGUUUUGUGGCCGGCACAUGGCGAUGAAACAUAUGGGCGGGUGGCGAAAAUCGGAUGAGGAUACAGAAAAAUAAAGUAAUUGAAUUUUCAUAGUGCUCAGAGCACACAAAACUUGCAGACUCGGUUGUUGUUUGCAUUGUGCACGGCACUUGCUACUUUUAAUGCGUGGAUUGUCUUCUUGCAACAACCAAAGGCUUUGAUAAAACUAAGCAAGUAAACUAAUUUCGAUUGCGGAAACCAUUGUACAAUCAAAAUGUAUAUUGUAUAUAUACAAAGUUCUAGGCAAAGACAAAUCAUGUUAAACAAAAUUACGCGCUGGUAAGCAAA
rnacentral:sRNA from 1 species